rnacentral:lncRNA from 1 species
CUACGUUAUGAGUCUUCUAAAAUGAGUUUAACCAGAUCUAAAUGGAUCAGAUGGGAUAGAGCUCAAAUCAACCUACUUGCAGCUUUAAUCCUAAACCACCUACAUCAUAGGCAAAAUCUAAUUCUCCUUUCUAAAUUGUCGUAAUUCUUCCAACUGCCCAUCAAAUCAUUCUAAAACAGUGCCCAUUGCGCAUCUGUAACUGGAGCCGCCCAGUUCAAGCUUAUCAAGUUUGGGUUGACCCCAUAGAUUCCAGUGCCAAAUAUUAUAUUUUUAGUGGUUCAGUAUGGACUUUGUGCCCUCCUCGAUCUGGAUUCCUUAAGUUCGACAAAAUACACAACCGGGAAGCCGUGCGUUUCCUCGGACUGAUUUUUUUUUGCUGCUUUAUUUAUUGGGAAGAAUACGUCACUGCAUGCGUAUGAGUUCUCAUUGUUGCUUAUAUAAUCUUCUUGUGUCACGUGGAUUUGUUUUUUUCAUAUUCUCCUCGAUGGUCAGUCACCGGGCACGUACGUGGAGCUUACGUUCCUUCCCUAUUUUGUUGAGAGUUUUAAACGGUAGCUGUUCACAGGGACGAGCAAA